rnacentral:rRNA from 1 species
UAAGGAAUAUUGGUCAAUGGAGGGAACUCUGAACCAGCCAUGCCGCGUGUGUGAUGAAGGCCCUUUGGGUUGUAAAGCACUUUUAUCUGGGAAGAAUGGCUCUCAUUUAUGAGAGAAGGGACGGUACCAGAAGAAUAAGCACCGGCUAACUCCGUGCCAGCAGCCGCGGUAAUACGGAGGGUGCAAGCGUUAUCCGGAAUCACUGGGUUUAAAGGGUACGUAGGCGGUUGGAUAAGUCAGACGUUAAAGGCUGUAGCUAAACUAUGGUACGCGUUUGAAACUGUCUAACUUGAAUAUGUUCGAGGUGCAUGGAAUGUAUCAUGUAGCGGUGAAAUGCAUAGAUAUGAUAUAGAACACCAAUUGCGAAGGCAGUGCACUAGGGCAUUAUUGACGCUGAGGUACGAAAGCGUGGGUAGCGAACAGGAUUAGAUACCCCCGUAGUCC